ensembl:lncRNA
AUGAGAGAAUGGGUUCAUGACUUCUGUUCUGUUACAGGAUCAUGGGGGAGACCUGUGGCCUAUUUUUCGAGUAAGCUCGAUCCGGUAGCGGCAGGCAUGCCAAAAUGCCUGAGAGCUGUUGCAUCUGCAGAAAAAGCUAUUUUAUCUUCAAUGGAAAUUGUGGGGUACUCUGAUGUGACUUUGCUCGUGCCACGCACGGUCUCUGUGAUCCUGUUGGAACAGAAAACAUCCCAUUUGUCAACCCACAGAUGGCUCAGAUAUCUCAGCAGGUCAAGGACGCUCUGCCCAAGCCAGCGGAAGGAGUCUUGCAUGAUAUCAGGUCUUGCUAAUAACACACAGUGGUGAAAGUGGCAGAGAGAGCUACGUGGGUACAUGCAAGUCACUGCAGGAAGGUUCCAGUGCCACCAGAGGGCUACAGCUCAGUAAAGUGAUUGAUCAGCUGCCCCAUGCCAAGGGGGACGUCUGGCUGACUUAGGUGAACAAACAUACAGUGGUGUAUGGGAGCUGAACACGCAGCAACAUCACUGUGUGGGAGUAAUCUGGGGUCAGUUUGGGCCAACGGAUGACAGCGAGGGACUUAAGCUGUUAGAAAACCUACCAUCCGACCACUGCAGCGAAACUACAAGACCAACUCGACAAGAGGGAACACAGGCUGUGGAACGGAGCGGAGAAGUUCUUCCAUGCUGUAGUUCUGGUGCUUGGGGUCAGCCUUCUUCAAAUUGAAGUCCAAAUCAGGAGAUAUGAACUGAACGCUACUAAGGUGGUAAGGGAAGGCGUCAAGAAGGAACUUCGAGGGCUGAGGCUCACUGCACAGCAAGACCGACUUGUCCUGGAUCAACUCACCACAUCUCCUGGGUGGGGGGGUGUGUGUACUUUUGGGAACUGCAUGUGUAUGUAUAUUCCUGAUAACGAUGCUGAUGGCCACGUGAUAGAUGUGGGUAUUAAGAACAUGACUAAUGCAAUUCACAGGUUGACAGCUAUAAUCAAAUAUAAGAGUUGUUUGUUUUCUUUAUAGCUUGCUUAUAUGUUAGGAAUGACUAUAUUCCAUAAAAAAAACAAUGCAAAUGCUUUUUUUUCGCCUUAUGAUAGUAAUGGUGUUUUAAAUCUUGAAUUUACAUGAUUGAUGUAAACUAUAAGGGUAAAGUUUUCACAAAUUUAUCUACAUUUAAUCAAUAUAAGUGAUCAAUAAUGAUCAAAAGGGAGGAGUGUUAUGGAAAUUUUUAAUAUUGUUAAUCUUGCAUUGAUUGCAUUAAUCUCAUUUAAGUAUCUUCUUAAACAUACAAUGAUCAAGGUAGUAUAUAGUCCAUAGGGACAUUGAGUUAUUUUAUGUAACUUGUGCACAUAA